GAGCGGGACAGGCCCUAUACAUGCAAGAGGGAGCUGUGCUUCUGAUGUUAGCGGCGGACCGGGUGAGUAACACGGGGUAACCUACCUAUAAGACUGGGAUAACUCCCGGGAAACCGGGGCUAAUACCGGAUAAUAUUUUGAACCGCAUGGUUCGAUAGUGAAAGACGGUUUCGGCUGUCACUUAUAGAUGGACCCGCGCCGUAUUAGCUAGUUGGUAAGGUAACGGCUUACCAAGGCGACGAUACGUAGCCGACCUGAGAGGGUGAUCGGCCACACUGGAACUGAGACACGGUCCAGACUCCUACGGGAGGCAGCAGUAGGGAAUCUUCCGCAAUGGGCGAAAGCCUGACGGAGCAACGCCGCGUGAGUGAUGAAGGUCUUCGGAUCGUAAAACUCUGUUGUUAGGGAAGAACAAAUUUGUUAGUAACUGAACAAGUCUUGACGGUACCUAACCAGAAAGCCACGGCUAACUACGUGCCAGCAGCCGCGGUAAUACGUAGGUGGCAAGCGUUAUCCGGAAUUAUUGGGCGUAAAGCGCGCGUAGGCGGUUUCUUAAGUCUGAUGUGAAAGCCCACGGCUCAACCGUGGAGGGUCAUUGGAAACUGGGAAACUUGAGUGCAGAAGAGGAGAGUGGAAUUCCAUGUGUAGCGGUGAAAUGCGCAGAGAUAUGGAGGAACACCAGUGGCGAAGGCGGCUCUCUGGUCUGUAACUGACGCUGAUGUGCGAAAGCGUGGGGAUCAAACAGGAUUAGAUACCCUGGUAGUCCACGCCGUAAACGAUGAGUGCUAAGUGUUAGGGGGUUUCCGCCCCUUAGUGCUGCAGCUAACGCAUUAAGCACUCCGCCUGGGGAGUACGACCGCAAGGUUGAAACUCAAAGGAAUUGACGGGGACCCGCACAAGCGGGGAGCAUGUGGUUUAAUUCGAAGCAACGCGAAGAACCUUACCAAAUCUUGACAUCUUUGACCGCUCUAGAAUAAUCAGCCUAAAGGCUGGGGGACAAAGUGACAGGUGGUGAGGGGUUUUUCUUUUU
rnacentral:rRNA from 1 species